rnacentral:rRNA from 1 species
GAAACUGCGAAUGGCUCAUUACAUCAGUUAUUAUUUAUUUGAUAAUCGAAAGUUACAUGGAUAACCGUGACAAAUUACAGCUAAUACAUGCAGUCAGACCUGGUCCAAGGGUCGUAAUUAUUAGUAUUAAACCAUUUCCGCAAGGAAUGUGAUGAAUCAUAAUAAUCGAACGAAUCGCCUGGUGUGCGAUAAAUCAUUCAAGUUUCUGCCCUAUCAGCUUUGGAUGGUAGUGUAUUGGACUACCAUGGCAGUCACGGGUAACGGAGAAUUAGGGUUCGAUUCCGGAGAGGGAGCCUGAGAAACGGCUACCACAUCUACGGAAGGCAGCAGGAGCGAAAAUUGCCCAAUCCUGACACAGGGAGGCAGUGACAAGAAAUAUCAACUCUUGGAUUUCUAAGAAGUGAAAUGAGGAUAAUUUACAACCCUUACCGAAAGCAAUUGGAGGGCAAGUCUGGUGCCAGCAGCCGCGGUAAUUCCAGCUCCAAUAGCGUAUAUUAAAGUUGUUGCAGUUAAAAAGCUCGUAGUUGAAGUUCUGGCUGUUCGAUCCUCGAGCUCUGUAGCCGAGGACUCGACAGUCAUCCGCUUGCAAAUAUAUGUUCGCCUUUAACCGGGUGGCUAUAUGAGCAAGCAAUUUACCUUGAGAAAAACAGAGUGUUCCAGGCAGGUUUGUCCGGAAUGCAUUAGCAUGGAAUAAUAGAAUAUGACUGAAGUCAAUUUAUUGGUUUAGGGCUUUAGUAAUGAUUAAUAGGAACAGUCGGGGGCAUUGGUACUUGACAGUCAGAGGUGAAAUUCUAGGAUUUGUCAAAGACUAACAAAUGCGAAAGCAUUUGCCAAGGAUGUUUUCAUUAAUCAAGAACGAAAGUUAGGGGAUCAAAGACGAUCAGAUACCGUCCUAGUCUUAACUAUAAACUAUACCGACUCGGAUUCGGAUGAAUCAAAAAGUUCAUUCGGGACCGUAGGAGAAAUCAAAGUUUUUGGGUUCUGGGGGAAGUAUGGUCGCAAGGCUGAAACUUAAAGGAAUUGACGGUUUUGCACCACCAUGGAGUGGAGUCUGCGGCUUAAUUUGACUCAACACUGGGAAACUCAUCAGGGCAAGAAGAUUUUAGGAUUGACAGAUUGAGAGUUCUUUCUUGAUUGGUCUAGUGGUGGUGCAUGGCCGUUCUUAGUUGGUGGAGUGAUUUGUCUGGUUAAUUCCGUUAACGAACGAGACCUUAACCUGCUAACUAGUACUUGGAUGUCCAAUCCAUGUUACUUCUUAGAGGGACUAUGUGAUGUAAUCACAUGGAAGUUUGAGGCAAUAACAGGUCUGUGAUGCCCUUAGAUGUCCUGAGCUGCACGCGUACUACAAUGGUGCUUUCAACGAGCUUUUCCUGAUCCGAAAGGAUUUGGGUAAUCUUUUUAGUGAGCACCGUGCUUGGGAUAGAUCUUUGUAAUUAUGGAUCUUGAACUAGGAAUUCCUAGUAAGCGCGAGUCAUCAGCUCGUGCUGAUUACGUCCCUGCAAAAUGUACACACCGCCCGUCGCUAUUACCGAUUGAGUGCUAAGGUGAACCUUCUCGAUAGCGCAAGCUAAAAAUUAAGUAAACCUUAGUACUUAGAGGAAAUAAAAGUCGUAACAAGGUUUCCGUAGGUGAACCUGCGGAAGGAUCA